UAGGGUGUUAGUGGUUCGUGGUUGGGGUUCAGAAGCUUUUGUAGGGGCUUUAAAAGUUUUAAUAGGAUGUUCGGUGGUUCGUGGUUGAGGUUCAGAAGUAUUUUUAGGGUGUUCAGUGGUUUGUGGUUGGGGUUCAGAAGUUUUUAUAGGGAGUUCACAGGUUUUUGUAGGGUGGUCAAUGGUUUGUGGUUGGGAUUCAGAAGUUUUUAUAGGGGGGUCAGAGGUUUUUGUAGGGUGUUAGUGGUUCGUGGUUGGGGUUCAUAAGUUUUUGUAAAGGGUUCAAAGGUUUUUGAAGGGUAUUCAGUGGUUCGUGGUUGAGAUUCAAAAGUAUUUUUAGGGUGUUCAGUGGUUUGUGGUUGAGGUUCAAAAGUUUUUGUAGAGGGGUUCAGGUGUUUUGGUAGGGUGUUCAGUGGUUUGUGGUUAGGGUUCAGAGAUUUUUGAAGGUGGUUAAAAUGUUUUUGAAAGGUGUUCAGUGGUUUGUAAUUGAGGUUCAAAAGUUUUUGUAGAGGGUUUAGAGGUUUUUUAAGGUGGUUAAAAUGUUUUUGAACGGAGUUCAGUGGUUAGUAAUUGGGGCUCAGAAGAUUUUGUAGGGGGUUUAGAGGUUUUUGAGGUUGGUUUAGUGUUUUCUGGUAGCUUAUCAGAAAAUUCUUUGGGCUUAUCAGAAGUUUAUAGGGGCUCUUGUGUUGCUUCUAGUGAUUUAUCACAAGUUUUUGGGGGAUAUUCAGAAAAUUCUUGAAGGUGUUCAGUAGUUGGUCUAUAAUUAAAUAUUAAACAACAAAAGAAGAAAAUACACAAGAUCCAAAUAAAUUAUUAUUUCAUACCAAAAUACUUGAUAAAUUUUUACACAAAUUAUUUCUUCAUACAGCACAUUUAUAUGGACAUAAAAGACAACGUAUGUGAACAUCAAACAGGAAAUAUAUGGACAAAAAUAUGAAGGUAAUGAAUAUGUAACGAUUAACAUUAGAUUUGCUAAUUUUAUUGCACAAUCCACCAAAAUUGGUCAAAAAG